rnacentral:rRNA from 1 species
UUCGAUUGAGUUUGAUCCUGGCUCAGAUUGAACGCUGGCGGCAUGCUUUACACAUGCAAGUCGAACGGCAGCGGGGGCUUCGGCCUGCCGGCGAGUGGCGAACGGGUGAGUAAUACAUCGGAACGUGUCCUUAAGUGGGGAAUAACGCAUCGAAAGAUGUGCUAAUACCGCAUAUCUCUCAGGAGGAAAGCAGGGGAUCGAAAGACCUUGCGCUAAAGGAGCGGCUGAUGUCUGAUUAGCUAGUUGGUGGGGUAAAGGCUUACCAAGGCAACGAUCAGUAGCUGGUCUGAGAGGACGACCAGCCACACUGGGACUGAGACACGGCCCAGACUCCUACGGGAGGCAGCAGUGGGGAAUUUUGGACAAUGGGCGAAAGCCUGAUCCAGCCAUGCCGCGUGAGUGAAGAAGGCCUUCGGGUUGUAAAGCUCUUUUAGUCGGAAAGAAAGAGUCAUAGUAAAUAGCUAUGAUUUAUGACGGUACCGACAGAAAAAGCACCGGCUAACUACGUGCCAGCAGCCGCGGUAAUACGUAGGGUGCGAGCGUUAAUCGGAAUUACUGGGCGUAAAGGGUGCGCAGGCGGCCUUGUAAGUCAGAUGUGAAAGCCCCGGGCUUAACCUGGGAAUUGCGUUUGAAACUACAAAGCUAGAGUGCAGCAGAGGGGAGUGGAAUUCCAUGUGUAGCAGUGAAAUGCGUAGAGAUGUGGAAGAACACCGAUGGCGAAGGCAGCUCCCUGGGUUGACACUGACGCUC